rnacentral:misc_RNA from 1 species
AAGUCGUAACAAGGUUUCCGUAGGUGAACCUGCGGAAGGAUCAUUACUCUUAGCUUAAGUUCUUGCAACUUAUUGCUAUACUCUAAACACCAAACUGUGCUCUUUUUCUUUCCCAUCCCACUCUUCUACCAUCCCAUUCUAUAACUGAACACAUUGUGCGAACGACAGUCUCAGACCGUCCAACACACAUCUGUACACCCCAGCUCAUGCAGAUAUAUAUCAUUUAUUUAAUAUUAUCUUAUGUGUUGUGAUGUACUUGUUGAACCACAGUAUGGUGCUACAUGGAUGCAUACCUUAAACCGUAUUCAUCCCUGCAUGUGUCCAUACACGUGAAUACAACUCCGAACAAUGGAUAUCUCGGCUCUC